rnacentral:rRNA from 1 species
GACGAACCGUGCGAACGUUGUUCGGAUUCACUGGGCUUAAAGGGCGCGUAGGCGGUGCGACAAGUCGGGGGUGAAAUCUUUCGGCCCAACCGGAAAAGGGCCCCCGAUACUGGCGCGCUGGAGGGAGGUAGGGGCAUGUGGAACUCCAGGUGGAGCGGUGAAAUGCGUAGAUAUCUGGAGGAACGCCGGUGGCGAAAGCGACGUGCUGGACCUUCUCUGACGCUGAGGCGCGAAAGCUAGGGGAGCAAACGGG